rnacentral:rRNA from 1 species
UGGUGGAGUGAUUUGUCUGGUUAAUUCCGUUAACGAGCGAGACCGUCGCAUGUUAUAUAGGGGGGGGUGGUAUAAAAUCCAUUCGACUCCCUUCAUAAAUGGACUCUCUGCAAAAAGCAGAGGGAAGUUGGCGGCAAUAACA